ensembl:snoRNA
AGUCUCCCUGCGCUUACCACAGGCAGCGUGGCUCCAGCGCUGACUGUAUAGAAAGGGGAGAUACAGCACCGAAGUCCCUGCAUACACCUCAGCCAGGCUGCCUCUCUCACCUGGGCUGUAUUGUUAGCAAGGGCACAAAC